CUGAGACGAAACGCGGUUUGCCAGACUGGAAGGGGAGGUUGCCCUGCGGUGGGGGAAGACAGCGAUAGUGGGGGAGACCCGUCGCAAGGACGUGCUAUGCCAUAACGGUGCCCCAGAUUACCUGUAUUUGCGAUCGUAAAAGGUUGUAACGUUAAACAUUGACAAAAGGAUACCGACUGAUUUACUAUCUUUGCAGAUUAUAGGGACAAACGCUUACCGGAGAUAGAACUGUAAAACGUUUGCGUUAUUUAGAACCAAUAUUUUAUAGUAAUUAUCGGCCACACAAACUGCAAUUAUUUGUACUGACAUAAUUCUAUUCGCAUUAUCAAAAUCGAUCAAGAAUCGAUUAAAGAUAUAAUAGAAUUAUACCUUCAAACCAUUUGAUCCGAUGUAUCGCCGCAAACAUUCCAUUUCCCAGCCGCAAAUGAUAAAAAGAAUCAUUUUCUAUCGCAUAAUCUAUAUAUGUACUCGCGUACAUAAUAAUGUUAUCGAUCGAGAGUAAAUGUAAAAGUACAGUGACGAUGCUAGUAGGUAAGAGUAGAUCGAACGGAAUACUGCACGUCUUUACGCGUUACCUACUUCGAUCUUUCACUAUUUUAUGACUACGACAUGAAUCGUAUAUGAUUUGUUUAAAAAAUUAUUCACUGACAUAACCAUGGAAUCGCACUGUACUAUACAUCCCUGAGUCGUACGGGGUUUAAUAUCGUGAAGGGUAGUCGAGAGGAAGGAAGAUAGGGGCGACCCUAAAGCGAGGGAGUGCUGAUGCUAAAGCUGCGAGCACGAAGGGACCUUCAAAUAAAAAAAAAAGGUAGGACCUACUGAGCGAGCGAGUGGAACGAGCAAGAGAAAACAGGAGAGAAAAUCCGGUCCCCUUCUUUCGAGACCGGGGAAAGGCCGCACCCACUCAGUUCUUGAAGAUCAUACUGGGUCCCCGCUGGCACAGCCCUGAGCAUGUAAGUAAACACACCAAAGUUCUGGUGCCUCGACAUGGAGCGAACAUUUUCCACGAGGUUGGAUAUCCGUGAAGAACGACGAGCGGUCACUCACGUAGACGAGAACUCGAAGACCCUCGGUUCGACCGUUAUGAAAAAUGAAACGAGGACGUCAAAUGUACAGGGCGACGUACAUAAGUAGAAACCUUUCGAAAUUCAAACUGGUCGCGGGAGAAAUUCUAAUACUUUCUAAGACGCACAAGAGGAGUCUCAUUUAGUUGAAUUACGCGGGGAUCGCACAAAGGGACGGAUGAAACUUGUACGGGUCUGACCAUUGUUACUCCGAUCACACGAUGCUUACACAAUAUCUAUGAAGUUGCGCUACGUUUCGCCAGACAGCAAUAACUCUCCUAGCCUUUAAAGCGAAUUCGUGUCGUCUGCGUCAUAACGUUAUAUUAUAACGUUAUUUGAAUGUAAGAUAAUCAGAAUGCAUACGCUUGGCCAGCAAGUUGGUCACUCUUAGGUUAAGCCAAAGUCAACACGUGGCAACGCCGCGCUACAGCUGUCAUACGCGUCACGCAUCGAGCCAAAGCUCAACUUAUUCUACAUACAUGUUUUAUAAGAGUUACUACAUACUUUUUUCAUUAGAAUAACCGAUGCAAAACAGUUAGAACUUUGCCAACAUUGUGAAGAAAAAUUAUUCCUUUGUCAAAGAACAGUACCGUGUAAAGCUGGGGGUACUUUACCGCGAGGGAUACCCCAGUGUUACCUCGUAACAUUCUCAUGCCAUCCGCUUCCCUCUCCCGAAAUCCCAGACGGGAAAGUGAGUUUCGGAACAUGAUUGUUAAUUUUACGUAACGUACGGCUUGCCUGCUAGGAACAAGUUUCCCCUCCUGCUUUUACCCAGAUCUCGGUUCAAUACCGGGCUUGAAUUUUCUGGGCUUUAAUUUUCCAAUCACACGCUGAUAAAAAGGAAACAAAUGUAGGUGAAGAGACGAGGAUGGUUUCGUAAUAAGCAAAGACGGUUAUUGUGUGAAUCCUCGAAUUCGACUGCCUUUCGAACGUCUCCUCGAGCAGGAAAAUGUCCCCUGGGAAAACAGGGGGUGCACUCCUAAGUAGACGUACCUUCGAGGCGCUCAGUCAAUUCUUUACGCACAGCCGAUCCACGAAAAUACAAUCUGUCGUCGUCUCCAGACGUCUCACCGAAAGGCUGUUCCAAGACGAAGCUUACAGUUCAGUUUUCCUACACAAAAAAAGCUACUCUCCAAAGUUCCCAGGCCCUCUUCAAGAAUUUUUCCAUCGUCUCUCUUGAAAAUCGCGUUAAUUGUCUCGACGUCUUCCAGAAACGAGCCAAUGUUAUCGGUGCAGCAAUAUUAACUUUACAACGCGAGGAGGAGGGAGCCGGGAGUGAAAUAAAGAGAGAACGACAGCGAAAGAGAGGAUGAAGGGAUAGGGUUAGUCUGUAUCAACUGUGCACCCUUAUCAAUUGGAAAAUUGGUGCGUGCAGUGGGAGCGGAAGAGGAGGAGACUCGGCUAUGUUCAGCGUUGGAGGGGAGGGAAGAACGAUUAGGUUUACGCGCCUGCCAGGGACGUACAUAUCGAAGGGGCGAACGGAGCACGAGAAAGAAUAUCGGGUUCAGUUUGUUUUAACGAUCUGCAUUGUCUAUGCACCCUCACGAAUUAGGAAUUUCAAACCGGCUACCCGAUGAGCUGGUGGCAAGAAGGGUGCUCGUACAAAAGCCAGGGGCGUAUCCAAGGAAUGGUAGGGAGCCUUUGUGUGUACGUUGAGAGAAUCAAAAGAACCAGCAAGUGAAUCAGCGAAAGAGAACGAGGGGAAUGGAGACGAACAGAAAAGAGGGAGGAAGAAGAGUGACGAGACGCUUAGGGCGCAUGCGUCACUCAUCGUGGGCGUCGGGAAUGUGUUGACACGAGAAGCCGAGAAAACGCUGUGCCUCUAAUGCCACGACGCCCGUGUUAUCGUCGAUACGGUUCCCAUACCGCGGGCAUGCCUUGUCCUCAGAAAAUCUGGGUCUUCGACUUCCGUUCUAACGUCGAAAUCAGGGGUCUGGUUGUUGCCGAUGGUCGUAUCGACAUUAUCCGGUAUUGGAUGAUUCAAACAUUGCUGCGUAGAUGAUUAACACAACAAACAAGAGAAGAACCCGUCAAUCAACUGGGAUAUAUUUAAAAAUACUUUAUUCUAUCAACACAAAGAAUUCAUGAAUAUUUCAAGUGAUAUUAAUGUUACAUUAAUCUCAUAACAAGUAGUUUACUUUUAUGUAAGACUGGUCGAAUAACGUCGACUUUAGUUGACUGUACGGUUCAUCAUUUCUAAUUUAACUUUUCUCGAUGUCCGUCAUUGCUAAGAGCAUUAUUUUUUAUGAAACUUUUAUUCGAUGUUUAGAGACUCGCGCUACAAUAAUUUUCAAAGUUAGUACGAGACUAUAGGGAAUGGUGCUUCGUAGGAGUAUACGGUGUUCUCCACGCAGUAAAUUUAUAUGAGGUUAUGUUCGGUGAGGCUGGAUAUUAGGGAUAACCAUACAACUACAAUGACAUUACUUUCACGAUGCUUCAUAUACAAUAAAUAGCACUGUUCGAACAAAUAUGAUGCAUACAAAUGUUUUUAGUAAAUUGAAAAAUUGCGUUUGAUGUGUUAUAAAAUGCAAUACCUUACCAUUCGGAGCAGCGUUAUCAGAGCUGUCCCUAGAGUUCGGAGGGCCCCGUUCAAGUGCCCCGUUUGCCAUAUAUCAGGGACAACUCUGAAGAAUAUGGUACAUGAAAACGUUAUUUACAAUUACCAAAGAUAAUCUAAAGCGUUAAAAACAAAACGGUGAUAGAGCAGCACGCACAUUUCAGUCACUAUUAUAUCGCAGAAUACGAACUUUUAUGUAUGAGCAGAGCCUUGUACAACCAGUAGUGAAAAAUUCUAUGCAUUUAUGAGUACAGACUUUAUAGAGAGCAGUAAGAAGAUCGCGGUUGUUGCUUACAAUUGCCUAUUUGAAUAACUAAAAAUACACUUGAAUCUCUGCGACUCAUACACGCAUUAUUUACACAACACUGAAAUCUCAGGUCUUAAAUUUAACAGAAAAAUAUCCCUUUGCAUUAAUGACCAAAGGGUUAACUAAGGGAAGCCUAAGUAGCACGCGACCGUACAUAUAAACUAAGCGCAUAAUUGAUUACACAUCGCAUGCGUUUAAAGAAUCAGUAAUCUUUGAGUAGGUACUAUUGCGACUAUGAAUAUAGGUGCGUUAAAGGUAUCGUCCGGUUAAUCGCAAUAUUCGUGUCUGUUACUUUUUUUUGUUGUCGCAUCUAUUGUCGGCGAUAAGAGUAUGUAUGCAUCGAGUACAACGUAUCGCAGCUAUUUUGCGCAAACACAAUGAAGGAGCGAAGCCCGAAAACAGUUUGAAAAGAAAGCUUUACUACGUGUACGUAAGUACUUUCACGAAUACGUGAAUGCAUGUCAGUGUUCGCGCAUACAAAUAAACCUGCGCCAUAUGUAUGCAUACAUACGUGAAUCGUAUAUAGGUACAUGUAUAUGUACUACAUAGAUCUCAAUACAGGAAAAAGACGGCGAAUAAAAAGGGAACGCAUCGGAGAAAGAUCGAAAGUAUUACAGGUGUAACUGGGGUAUAAUCGAACGUAACGUUAAAUCUUCUUGUGCGCAUAAGGGACUGUUUCCACGUGAAUGUGCAUCCUCUGUGUUUACGAAGGACAAUUAUCAAAAAUCGAAGGUGGAAUAUCACAAUGAAAGCCAAAUACGAUCCGAGCGGACAAAGAACGCUGGGUAAAUGCGUAUCAAAUGGGCGGAAGGUAGAAGAAAUGGAAGAAAAGAAAGUAGAAAGGAGGGAAUAACGAUGUGGAGAAGGAGAUGAAUUUUGGAGAUUAAAAAUUUUAAGUUCAGACGCCGGAGAAACGCGUUGGGAAAAUUCUACGAAAAAAAAACAAAAGCGAUGGAGAUGUCGAGGACAGCACACCGUCAGGGUAAAAUAAAGACAGGGUCGAGCGAGCGAGAGAUAUAGAGAGAAAAAGAGAGAGACAGCGCGCAUCCAAAUUUCGGAGGGAAAACUCCUACCUUUUACUGGGAUAAUCUGGGAUUUUCAGAACGAUGUCAUAGCAGAGUACGUUGGUUGCGCUAGGCGAAACCGACGGUCGGCGAUGGCCGUGCAGCUCACCACUGAGAACACUGAGGUCGCUCCAUGUCUCUCACUCGACCCAAGCCACGACCCCGCCCAUUAUGGGCCUAACUAAUAUUCUCGAGGCCGUAUAUUAAACCAUAAACCACUAUGUACUUUCAUAUAUUUAAUUCCGCCCGUAAACCACCACAGAUAUCCUCUGAUAUUUCGCGUAGCGAUAUCUGCGCCGCAAGAUUAUCAGCGUUCUUGGUCACUGACGUCAAACGCUUUCACGAACUUCGGAUAUCUCGCCGUAGGUUAAUGGCGGCACCACUUGCUGGCCGCAAUAGUCACGUUGUUUUGUAAUACGGUACUUUUCAUCCGUUUUUAUGUACAAAUUUCUUUCUGUCUUUACUCAGUAUCGCUUAUUAUUAAACGAUAAGCGAUAAUUCACGCUCGAUUUCCACUAAUGUUGCAUCUGAGAGUAAGUUUCCUGUUAUCUUUCUUGGUGUUUCAGCGCUUCCACCUUUACGAAGCAGCUGCAUCAUCAGCGUAUGCACAUGUAGCCAUGUAGCUCGACAAGUUUAAGAAAAUUUCUGUAGAGGGAGAACGAUAGGCAGGUUGCUUUCCCCACCAUAUUGUACCUCCAUAAACUACUUCUCCUCCAGUUGCUGUAUUGUAGCAUUUUAUUAGAUUCUUUAGAUCAAAUUUUAGAACCAUACCUUUUUCGUAUUUUAAAUUUACAAGUCAUUAUAUUGAAAAUUAUUUGAACCGAAACACAAUAAGCCAACGCGAGAUUUUAUUUGGAGGUUUAUAGAGAAAUUGCAGACAAAUAUUGCGCGUACAAUACCUUUUUAGGGAUUCUUUUUAAACGUGUCGAGAUAUAUAUGUAUAUGGAUUUCCUGUUCAUCUUAUAUAAAGGUAAUCUGAUAAACAAGGAAGGAAACAAUAAAGGGUGUAAAACCAUUUCCUAAAUUCAGACCCGUGUCACGAGAUGUCGUGCUUCGCCAUGUUCGACCAAUCCGUGUGCCUACCUUCCGAUCGUUAUACACAGUAUUAGUUUAUUUAAUGAUUUCGUUUGGAAAUGUAACAGUUACAUACAUUGUCGAGCUAGAAAAAAUAAAAAUUCACUUUUAGUAAAUAGAAAAUUUUUAAAUUUUAUUUAUGUGAACAAUUUAAAGGAAAGGUAACGAGUUUAGCGAAAAAACCCGGAAACAUCCGAAGAGAGAACGACAUGAUUGGAUGGAAGAGGUCACGUGAGCUGCAACGCUUUUAAGUAUUGGCUGAGCGUUCGUGGUAGGGGACGUUCAUAAUCCUUAAGAUAGGCUUGCGUCUUCACAAAGGUAAGAGACAGUGUUGGGGAAGGAACGUGCUUACGCGCACAUAGUUUAUGAGUUCGAUCGUAGUAUCCGGUUUCAGUGAGUGUUGUGUGAGUUGGCGAAGUAGUAAAAAAAAGAGGUUAAAGUGAGAGGAAGAA